rnacentral:miRNA from 1 species
UAUACAUGCACACAUACACAC